UUAAAAUGAGAGUUUGAUCCUGGCUCAGGACGAACGCUGGCGGCGUGCCUAAUACAUGCAAGUCGAACGCAAUCUUUUAACAAUGAGUGCUUGCACUCAGCGUUUUAAGUGCGAGUGGCGAACGGGUGAGUAACACGUGGGCAAUCUGCCCAAAAGUGGGGGAUAACACUUGGAAACAGGUGCUAAUACCGCAUCAACCGACUGACCGCAUGGUCGGUCGGGCAAAGACGGCGUCAGCUGUCGCUUUUGGAUGAGCCCGCGGCGUAUUAACUAGUUGGUAAGGUAACGGCUUACCAAGGUGA
rnacentral:rRNA from 1 species